rnacentral:sRNA from 1 species
GCACUACAAUCUGGAGACCACAGUCCCACAGGUGAACAACUUUGUGAUCUUUGAAGGCUUCUUUGCCCAUCAACAUCCUCCAUCAAGGAAGCUGCCACCCAAGAGAGCAGAGGGAGACAUCAAGCCAUACUCCUCUAGUGACCGAGAAUGGGGACUCCCCCAGGUCUGGUAGCCCAAAGCUGCUGCUACAGCCGCCAUGGGGGGGUGAAUUCCUCAUCCCCCAAUAUAGGCAACCAAGACUCCAAGCAGGGAGAACAGGAAACAAAGAAUAGGUUCAACUCUGGUACUUCCCUUUGGAAUACGGGUUCUCUGAGAGGUUUUAAAUUUGGACAUAGCACUAAUGGUUCCAGCCUCAUACCCAUCAUGUGUCCUACAUUAAAACCUGGCCUGAGAUCUUGAA